CAAACCAAAGCUGGCGACCGGCGCACGGGUGAGUAACACGUAUCCAACCUGCCUCAUACUCGGGGAUAACCUUUCGAAAGAAAGAUUAAUAUCCGAUAGCAUAUAUUUCCCGCAUGGGUUUUAUAUUAAAGAAAUUCGGUAUGAGAUGGGGAUGCGUUCCAUUAGUUUGUUGGGGGGUAACGGCCCACCAAGACUACGAUGGAUAGGGGUUCUGAGAGGAAGGUCCCCCACAUUGGAACUGAGACACGGUCCAA
rnacentral:rRNA from 1 species